rnacentral:rRNA from 1 species
AUUGAACGCUGGCGGCAGGCUUAACACAUGCAAGUCGAGCGGAGCGGCGUACGGGUGAGUAAUGCCUAGGAAUCUGCCUGUUAGUUGGGGACAACGUCUUGAAACGGGCGCUAAUACCGCAUACUAUCAGAUGAGCCUAUGUCGGAUUAGCUAGUUGGUGGGGUAAAGGCCUACCAAGGCGACGAUCUGUAGCUGGUCUGAGAGGAUGAUCGGCCACACUGGGAGUGGGACACGGCCCAGACUCCUACGGGAGGCAGCCGUAGGGAAUCAUGGGAAAUGGGGGGAACCAUGACCGAGCAACGCCGGGUGUGUGAAGAAGGUUUUAGGGUUGUAAAGCACUGUUGUUAAGGAGGCGGUACUUGCAGAAUAAGGAACGGCUAACUAUGUGCCAGCAGCCGCGGUAAUUC